rnacentral:lncRNA from 10 species
AUGAUAUUGUGUUACAAAACAAUUGAUUUUUGCAUACUAACUUUAUAUCCUCAACCUUACAAUAAUCACCUAUUAAUUCUGAGAGGUUUUUGUUUGUUUGUUUAUUCUUUGGGAUUUUCUACAGAGACAAUCAUCUCAUCUGUGAACCCUGCACUUUUGAGAUCAGAGGAUGGGCCUGUGGAAAUCUUGGAGCUGGAGGAGAGAUCUCCUCAGGGAAACCAAAAUGGGAGAAUUCGGUUUCAGAAUAUCUCACAAAAAUAA